rnacentral:lncRNA from 1 species
CUACUACCUAGAAAUCGCAGCCAGGGCCAGACCGGUGUUUGUCCUAAGUCGGAACUUGAUUGGGCUGAGAAAUCACAUUGUGACUAUUCCACGACUUGAACAAGGGGUAGAAAUCGCAGGCACCGCGAAAUAGAAACUUCCUAGGACCAAGAAGCCAACGACGCCCGAAACCGUGGGGUCCUGUCACAGAAACCCCAGCAGCGCAGCCACCGGACUGGGUUCUGGAGGCCGAGCCGCAGUCCGUGCGGCGGCGCUGGGAAGAGAAGGCGCCCCGGCAGCUCCCCUGCCACCGGCCCCGAGGAGCGGCUGGCUCCCCCAGCCCAGCGCCGCCGCCGCCCGGUAACUCCAGGCGCAACUGGGCGCAACUGGGGCAGCUGCGACACCGAAUCCCUCACAUCUGCAACCUGGGUGCUGCGGCCACUGAGAAAAUGGAGGCGCAGACCAACGAGCGGUGCCGCGACCGAGAGACCUCGGCUGGCGAAAUGGUGGUGCCGGGAGCCUGCGAGUGACGCCAGCCGGCGGGGUUGUCAAGGACAACAUUCGUUUUGACGCAGCCAAUGGCGCCGUCACCAAGAAACCAUCGACUCUGAGAAAAAAGAGAGGUUCGGCCACCGAGAAACUCCGUACGACAAGUGCUGUGGCAGAAAAACCGCCUACUCCGCGCCACAGGCAAAACAGCCAAUGGAAACCCCAGGUGCUGCGACCGUGACACCGGCACUAGAGGGUCUCGGAUGGAGAAAGCGGCGCACGGAGACCAGGAAACUAUGUGUAGCACAACUAGCAGAAAACCGUCUGGUCGGCCAUCCGGGAGAAAGCGCGGAUCAGAAACAAGCGACUUCGAUGCAGGGAACCGCGCAGCCACUGAAGAAAGUGACCCACGUGGCAGUGGUGCCAGCGAAACACUGCAGUUUGGACGGCAGCUGUGGGGAUGCCACAGAGAAACAUGCACUGCCACUGAAGUACAUCCAGCUCCGCGGAGCUAGUGUUCAUAUGAUCAAGAAACCGCCAGUUGGGCUCUGCUAGAAACUUUUAGUCCUCCCUUAACGGCUAUCCUACCCACAACAGACAAUGCCUUUACCCAGCACCUAGCGGUGCUGAGACCCGCCUGGGCCAGCACAGAGCGCAGAGCAGUACGGGUACGGAGAAACGCCGGACUCAGUGAAACCAGCCUUGCCUCCAGCGGAUUCCCCGGCUUCGCCGGACGCCACAGGCAGAGUGCCGCGGGGAAACCUCUGGCUCCCUAAACCGAUUAGAUUGUGGGAGUGGGGGGGACACUCACAAGUUGUGUGGAAGGGAACCAGCGGCAAUGGGACCCGGCGAGCACUUGCCCGCAGCAAAUGCCUGCGCUGCUGCAAAAAAAACAACUUUUGGCGCAAAGAAUGUUGCGGCCAGAGAGCAUCCGCUGUCGCUGACAAAGGAGUAGCAAUGGCAAUGAGAAACCGCCGGCGCCACGGCCGACCGCGGCGGCUCACGCCUAUGAUCCUUGCAGUUUGGGAGGCCGAGGUGGGCGCAUUACUUGAGAUCAGGAGACUAGCCUGGCCAACAAGGUGAAACCCCAUCUCUACUAAAAUACAAAAGAUUAGCCGGUUGUGGUGGCAGGCACCUGUAAUCCCAGCUACUCCGGAGGCUGAGGCAGAAGAAUCGAUUGAACUCAGGAGGCAGAGGUUGCAGUGAGCCAAGAUCGCGCCACUGCACUCCAGCCUGGGAGACAGAGUGAGCUCCGUCUCAAAAAAAAGAAAGAAACCGCUGGCGCCGGGAAAGGAGCCGUGCAGCGAUGGACCCAUGGUGCGCUCCGUGCUACCAAAGUGCUGUGGCCUCUACCCACUCUCGAUUCCCAAGGCUGUUUUUCGGGCUUAGGGAAGUCUGUUAUAUUUUUAUUUCUGCUUCUUUCUUUUCUUUCUUUUAUUUCUUUCUUUCUUUUUCUUUCUUUCAUUCUUUCUUUUUCUUUUUCUUUCUUCUUUCCUUUCUUUCUCUCUUUCCUUUUUUUCUUUUUCUCUUUAUUUCUUUUUUCUUUAUUUUUUUUUUUAACAGUAUCUUGCUCUGUUGCCCAGGCUGGUGCAGUGGCGUGAUCACUGCUCAGUGCAGCCUCGCCUUCUUGGGCUCCAGCUAUCCUCCCGCCUCAGCCUGUGGAGCAGCUGGGACCACAGGUGCGCGACACCACACCCGACUAAUUUUUUGUAGUUUUUGUAGGGUCUCGUUUUGUUGCCUAGGCUGUUCUCGAACUCCUGAGCUCAAGCAGUCCGUCCGCCUGGGCGGACUAAUAUCACAAAGCGCUAGAAUCACAGGCAUGAGCCACCGUGCUGGGAGGGAAGUCUGUAUUGUUGCUGCGUUCAACCCAGUGCAUAGUGCAUGAGAAGAGGAGGCAGUUUAGGGGCCCAGAACCAAGCGGAUGGGGCUGGUUGCAGGAACAAAGUAAAAACCAUUCUGAUUGCCAACAGCUGCCUACGCAGGAAACACCCUUCCAACCUCCGUGGCGGGGCUCUCCCAGGCCACCCCUCGGUCCCAGAGUCUCCUCCCCGUCCAGAGCUCUCAGGAUCCUACAGAAGGGGCGGACAACUCUUCCCUUCCAAACUGGAAAGUCGGCCUAGGUUUCCGAGGAUAAUGAAAGGCACAGCGUUUUUUGACCUCGACUUCAGGCCUGACCCCCCACUCUCUCGGUCCCGUACCUCUUCUGCGGGAUGUAACUCUGUGGGAACCGCUCCUUUAUUCUGAUGAUUAACUGUCUGAUAUCCUUGAUAUUUGGGGAUAGUAGAUGAAAGAGAGCAGGAGAGAAAAAUGGACGGCAAGACUCCAGCUCAGAAGGUGGGAAUGAUGGCAAAAGUCCGCUACCUCUCCAAGCCCAAUAAACAUCUCAAACUGCUCUACACUUUUCUGUACCCUUGAUCUGUGAAAUGGAUCACUGACGUUUUCUGUCUUUCGGGAAAUGCAAAGCAGGCGAAUUUUCAAGCGCUUGAAUUCCCUCUUUUUCCUACUUUUCAGUCAGAGUGGAGCUAAAAACUCCUUCCCCAUAGGAAAUAUGGAACUGCCUCUGCCCGGAAGAAAAACGUCCCUUUUCCCUAAGCUUUCACAUUUCCCGAAAAAUCUACACAUCCGCAUGAAAUCCUCACAAGAGACCUACAGACCCUACCGGGAGCGUUCCUGUCACUACAAAAAAUUUAAAAAUUAGCCGGAUGCGGUCGCGGGUGCCUGUAGUCCCAGGUACCAGGGAGGCUGAGGUGGGAGGAUCUCUUGAGCCCAGGAGGUCCAGGAUGCAGUUAACGAUGAUCCUAAGACCACGAGGCAAUUGGAGGAUCCUCAAAUACCAGGGAGAAACUAGCUAGCAGACAUAGUAUGGUGGGAGGGGAAGAUCAAGGCAAAUGCCUUGGGAGUGGGUGAGAAUUGCGACUUCAUAUUGGAUCUCCUGACCUGUGAAGGCCCUUUUCUAGGCUCCUCUGGACCUGUCCUCUGCCCAGGUUCAACCAGAAAAGGAUGGAGUUUGUUGCAUGGUAUCAUCAGGGUGAGGUUGGGAGAUGAUGCGGGAACGCUCAUCCCUGGUCUUAGGAACGGGAGAACAAAGGAAAAAUGGCAUCAUUUCCACCUAAAAAGUUACAAGCACUUCACCAGAAGGAACAGCCCAGGCGGAGCCUUUGUAAAAGAAAAGCCCCACCCACUGCUUCGCACUCCUCAUUUCCACCCAGCAGAGCAUUUUAGUGACAAAGCUGAGCGGGAGCCAGAGUUCACUCCUGUAAUCCCAGCACUUUGGGAGGCCCAGGCGGGAGGAUCACUUUAACCCACGCGUUCAGGACCAUCCGAAGCACAUAGCAAGACCGUGCCACUACAAAAAAUUUAAAAAAUUAGCGGGAUGCAGUCGCGGGUGCCUGUAGUCCCAGCUACCAAGGAGGCUGACGUGGGAGGAUCUCUUGAGCCCAGGAGGUCCAGGCUGCAGUGAACGAUGAUCCUUCACGGCACCACUGCACUCCAGCCUGGGUGACAGACUGAGACUUUGUCUCAAAAAAUAAAAUGAAAUAAAAAUACAGCCGAGAUUAGGAACUCUUUAAGAAGGGGUCACCUGAGACAUUAUUAGUAUACCAUUAACAGGAGAAAAUGCUGCAAAUUAAAGUAUCAUAAUGGUAGGAGGCUACCCAUUUAAAAAUAUAUACCUGUUUCAGAGACACUAAAGUGAGAAAAAAUUUACUCUAGAAUUGAUUAAAUUCAGAUAUCCACUGCUUUAUUUUAAACCUUAAGUGCCAUUUUAGUUUAUUUACCUCUUAGAAAUAGCAUGGAGAUUGGAGUUGUAAUUUUUUAAUAUUUAUUUAUUUAUUUAUUUAGAGACAGAGUCUGGCUCUGUUGCCCAGGCUGGAGUGCAGUGGUGUGAUCUCAGCUCACUGCAGCCUCUGCCUCCCGGGUUCAAGCUAUUCUGAGGCCUCAUAUCUGGGAACCUGCCCCAAUAGUCACAUAGGUUCUUUUCUAUUUUCCCUAAGCAUCGGCCGGUUUGAGAAAUAAAGGGACAGAGUACAAAAGAGAGAAAUUCUAAAGCUGGGUGUCUAGGGGAGACCUCACAUGUCAGUAGGUUCUGUGAUGCCCCACAAGCUGUAAAACCAGCAAGUUUUUAUUAGGGACUUUCGAAAGGGGAGGGAGUGUACGAAUAGGGUGUGGGUCACAAAGAUCACAUACUUCACAAGGUAAUAGAAUAUCACAAGGCAAAUGGAGGCAGGGCGAGAUCACAGGACCACAGGACCGGGGUGAAAUUCAAAUUGCUAAUGAAGUUUUGGGCACCAUUGUCAUUGAUAACAUCUUAUCAGGAGACAGGGUUUUGAGAGCAACUGGUCUGACCAAAAUUUAUUAGGCGGGAAUUUCCCCUUCCUGAUAAGCCUGGGAGCACUAUGGGAGACUGGGGUUUAUUUCAUCCCUACAGUCUCGACCAUAGAAGACGGCCACACCCAAGGGGGGCAUCUAUAGACCCACCCUCAGGUGCGUAUUCUCUUUCCCAGGGAUGUUCCUUGCUGAGAAAAAGAAUUCAGCAAUAUUUCUUCCAUUUGCUUUUGAAAGAAGAGAAAUAUGGCUCUGUUCCGCCUGGCUUUUUCCCAGCGGUCAGAGUUUAAGGUUAUCUCUCUUGUUUCCUAAACAUUGCUGUUAUACUGUUCUUUUUUCAAGGUGCCCAGAUUUCAUACUGUUUAAACACACAUGCUCUACAAUUUGUGGAGUUAAUGCAAUUAUCACAGGGUCCUGAGGCGACAUACAUUCUCCUCGGCUUACGAGAUGACAGGAUUAAGAGAUUAAAGUAAAGACAGGCAUAGGAAAUCACAAGGGCAUUGAUUGGAGAAGAGAUAAGUGUCCUUGAAAUCUUCACAAUUUAUGUUUAGAGAUUGCAGUAAAGAUAGGCAUAAGAAAUUAUAAAAGUAUUAAUUUGGGGAACUAAUAAACGUCCAUGAAAUCUUCACAAUCCACGUUCUUCUGCCAUGGCUUCGGCCGGUCCCUCCUUUUGGGGUCCCUGACUUCCCGCUACAGCCUCAGCCUCCCAAGUAGCGGGGAUUACAGGCACCAGCCACAAUGCUCAGCAAUUUUUUUGUAUUUUUAGUAGAGAGGGGGUCUCGCCAUUUUGUCCAGUCUGGUCUUGAACUCCUGACUUCUAUAUGAUUGUAUUUGUUUUUUCACAAUGUAGUUCAAUACAUUGAAAUGGUUGGGCAAGUGGCAAAAUCAUAUUCCUCACUCCUCUGGUUUUUUAUAAGGUUCAAUUUAUCAUAAAUACUUUCCACUUCUUGCCUCAUCUUUUACUUCUCCUCACAUAUUGAGUGGUUCAUGGCACAAAAAUCAUUAUUUGUGACAGACACUGUGCCAACUGUAUUUUGUGCUUUAUCUGAUUUCAUUCUCAACUGAAAACUGCGGCAAGCACAUGCUUUGUACUGGGCUUGCUUCUCAUUUCCAUUUUGUAGAUACACACCCUCACUUAGGGAAGUAUGAGUUUGUACAGCUCUGCCUGUGGCUGAAUAGAUAAAUGUAAUUUUACCAUUCAGUGUUAAAUCAACUUUUAGUGUAAAUUUAAGGCCCAUCUUCUAACAUAGGGGUACGUGUGAUUUUACUGUGUCCCUUCUCCCUAACACUCCAGUUCAAGAUAGCAACCUAAAUUCUGAGUUGAUUAUUCUGGACACACUCCCUCAAAAUGCGACUGUAAGACACCAGAAUACACCACCCCAGUAUGCCAAUAUAUCAAUAUACCUCUGGCGUAUUGAUUAUUUCAGGCCAGGCAUGGUGGCUCACACCUGUAAUCCUAGUGCUUUGAGAGGCCAGGAGUUCAUGAGCAGCCUGGGCAUGUAGGGAGACCCAUCUCUAUAAAAAUAUUUUUAAAAGAUUAGCUGGGCAUGGUGGCAUGUGCCUGUAGUCUUAGCUGCUGGGGAGGCUAAGGCAGGAGGAUGGCUUGAGCCCAGGAGUUUGAAGUUGCAGUGAACUCUGAUUGCACCACUGCAUUCUAGCCUGGGUGACAGAGUAAGACGCUAUCUCUUAAAAAACAAAACAAAACACUCACGCCUGUAAUCCCAGCACAUUGAGAGGCCAAGGUGGGCAGAUCACUUGAGGUCAGGAGUUUGAGACCAGCCUGGCCAACAUGGUGAAACCCCGUUUCUACUAAAAAUACCAAAAUGAGCCAGGCGUGGUGGCACGCAGCUGUAAUCUCAGCUACUUGAGAGGCUGAGGUGGGAGAAUUGUUUAAACCCAGGAGGCAGAGGUUGCAGUGAGCCAAGAUCGCACCAAACCACUCCAGGCUGGGCAACAGAGCAAGACUCCAUCUCAAACAAAACAAAACGAGAUGAGAGAAAAACCUCAACCUGUACACCUCUUUAUGACAGAACAACACAGAAAGAGAAAGACAAAGAAAAGACUACUCUAGGAGGAAAUGGAUGAAACAAUAUGAUUCUUACCACAAAGUACCAGAAAGUACACCAUAGUCAAUACACCAGCACUGGUCACACAAAUCCUUUUCUCCCAUCAGUCAAAAUUUUGGACAGGAAAAAUGAACAGAGUGAUAUUUACUGUCUACUUGACCAAAUUCCACAGAGAGGGGCCUGGAAUCUGACUGGUAAGAAAUUCUUAUCCUUAGGCUGGCUGAUUAGCUCCUGGUUUUCCUUAACUGUGGGCUUCCAAAAGAGCCAACCUUUGGGUUCCUGCUUACAACACCAAAUUUCUAGGGGCCAAGGGAAAUCUUUCUCUUAGCACUCUGAAAGUUUGUUGUAAAAUCGACUUGCAAAAACAGAAGAUUAACAGGAGAAAACACAUACAAAAUGUAUAAUUGCCCAAACCCCCAGUGAGGUGCAGGAGCUUAUAUAUCAUCUUGAGAUUACAGAAAGAAGUGGAUCAUGGCAGAACUGGUUAUAGGAGGGAGAGAAGAUGAGGUCUGCUAGCAAUGGUAGUCUUGUUAUGUACAUGAAACCUCACAGAUAGCAUCCCUCAGAGAACUGUUUCCUUAAGACCUUUAAAGGUGUCAGACUCUCAUUAAUCCUUCCUACAUCUGGAAAAGAGAAGGCCUGUAUAUAUCAAUGCACGAUGGCAUUGCAGGGCUACUUCUUUUGCUGCCUCUGACAGCCAUCUCAAAAUAUGUCAAAGAAAUAUAUUUUGGGGUAAAACAUUUUUCUUUCUUUCAAAGUGGAAUAUUAAGCGUACGUCUCUUAUAGAUACACUUUUAAAUAAAUAAGGGAAUCCACUUUUUCUAAUUUGUUAAGAUAUUUUUUGUUUUAAUAAUGAAGAGAGGUUAACUUUUAAAAAGGUUUUCUACAUCUACUGAUAUUAUCAUGUGGUUUUAUUUCUUUUUACUGUUAAUGCGGUGAAUAAUAUUGAUUGAUUUUCAAAUGCGAGUUCCUGGAGUAAAUCCCACUAGGUCAUGAUGUAUUUUUAAAAUAUAUAUAUUGCUGGAUUCAGUAUGCUAAUGCAUUAUUCAUAAUUUUUAACAUCUGUGAUCAUGAGAGACAUUGGCUGACCAAAAAUGGGAAAUUGACAAGAGUAAUAAACAAAAUGGGCUUACAAAUAUUCAUACUUGCUUGAUACUUAAAAAGGCCUUUUAAUGUAUUUUUCUGCCCCACUCAAGCAGACUUUUUAAUUUCUGGCAAGAGGUCUCAUUCAGGCUGUUCAAAGGUCAAUAUUAAUCUGAAUCAUUCCACAUUUGUAGGCAUCCUCAUUAUCUUUUCAAUACAGAUUGAAUUAUUGGGGAUUCAGACAGCAGAGGAAAAAAGUCAAAGCAUAUAAGGUGAGUAAGAAUUGUCACUUCCUGACAGGACCAGGAACAUCAGGAUAUUUGGAGAAUCUUAACAAAAGGAGAAUUCAUCCAAAUCUCUAGGUAUUGCAGGCAAAGUAUGAUAGCAAGAUCCUGGUUUGGUUUCCUAGCAUCUGGACGCUUUUAAAAGUCUAAUUUGAGAUUCCUUAUGAAAAUGUCCAGGUAAGUCAACUUAAAGAGAGCCUACACUGCAGCAU